rnacentral:ncRNA from 2 species
UUGAAUGGUAGAGGUGCGGCAGGCAUCAGUACCGGGUUCCGGGGUGACACCAAUGGGGAUUCGGGAAAGGGCUUGUCGCCGAAGUCAGCAGAGUGUCGAAACUGCUGGUUGGGGUGUCGUUGAAUAAGCGCCACACUGUCACGGUGUUGUGUUAACCCGCGAGGGUUAAAGCAGUACGUUCUAUUGCCAUCUGGGCUUGCCUGUUCCGGUGUGUACCGGGCAGGGAACCGUGGAGUGCUACCGAAUCU